rnacentral:rRNA from 1 species
UAACCUGGUUGAUCCUGCCAGUAGUCAUAUGCUUGUCUCAAAGAUUAAGCCAUGCAUGUCUAAGUAUAAGUUCUGUACUGCGAAACUGUGAAUGGCUCAUUAUAACAGUUAUUAUUCCCUGGCCGGUCAGUGAUUCCUUGGAUACCCAUGGUAAUUCUAGAGCUAAUACAUGCUUAAAAACCCGACUUCUUGAAGGGUUGCGCUUAUUAGAUACCGAACCAACCCAGGCUCUGUCUGGUUUUCGUUGAUUCAUAGUGUUCUGGCGAAUCGACUCGCAAGAGUCGAUGAGGCUAUCAAGUUUCUGACCUAUCAGCUUCCGACGGUAGGAUAUUGGCCUACCGUGGCUUUGACGGGUAACGGAGAAUUAGGGUUCGAUUCCGGAGAGGGAGCCUGAGAAACGGCUACCACAUCUAAGGAAGGCAGCAGGCGCGUAAAUUACCCAAUCCUGACACAGGGAGGUAGUGACAAGAAAUAUCAAUAUAAGACGUUUCUGUCUUGUAAUUGGGAUGAGCGAAACAUAAAACGCUUCUCGAGUAUCAAUUGGAGGGCAAGUCUGGUGCCAGCAGCCGCGGUAAUUCCAGCUCCAAUAGCGUAUAUUAAAAUUGUUGCGGUUAAAACGCUCGUAGUUGGAUAUCUGCCAAGGAGUUUCGGUCCUCCCCAGUGGAGAAUACGCGGAACAUUUCUUGGCACUUGUUCAGGGAAGGUGUUUGCACUUUGUUGUGCGUCACGUGAUCUGAAUUUUUACUUUGAGGAAAUGAGAGUGUUUCAAGCAGGCUUUUGCCGUGAAUAUGAUAGCAUGGAAUAAUAGCACAGGACCCCUUUCCAAAGCUGUUGGUUUUUGGAACGAGGUAAUCAUAAUAAGGACAGUUGGGGGUAUUCGUAUUUAACUGUCAGGGGUGAAAUUCUUGGAUUUUUUAAAGACGAACUAUUGCGAAGGCAUCUGCCCAGGAUGUUUUUGUUGAUCAAGAACGAAAGUUAGGGGAUCGAAGACGAUCAGAUACCGUCCUAGUCUUAACCUUAAACUAUGCCGACUGGAGAUUGGAGUCGUCAGUCCUUGACGUCU